UAUUCUUGAUGUUGUGGUCCAUGUAAGUC
rnacentral:piRNA from 1 species